GGGACUAUAGCUUAAAGGUAAAGCAUCCGACUCAUAAUCGGCGGAGUCUAAGUUCGAAUCUUAGUAGUCCCA
rnacentral:tRNA from 1 species